rnacentral:rRNA from 1 species
UGGGGAAUAUUGCACAAUGGGGGAAACCCUGAUGCAGCUACGCCGCGUGAGUGAUGAAGGCCUUCGGGUUGUAAAGCUCUGUUGUGAGGGAAGAAUUUUGACGGUACCUCAUGUAGCAAGCACCGGCUAACUCCGUGCCAGCAGCCGCGGUAAUACGGAGGGUGCAAGCGUUGCUCGGAAUUACUGGGCGUAAAGGGUGCGCAGGCGGACUGUUAAGCCAGAUGUGAAAGCCCAGGGCUCAACCCUGGAACUGCAUCUGGAACUGGCAGUCUUGAGUAUGAGAGAGGAAAGUGGAAUUCCUGGUGUAGAGGUGAAAUUCGUUGAUAUCAGGAGGAACACCAGCGGCGAAGGCGGCUUUCUGGCUCAUAACUGACGCUCAUGCACGAAAGCGUGGGGAGCAAACAGG